rnacentral:tRNA from 1 species
AGGGGCGUCGCCUAGCGGCCUAGGGCACCGGUCUCCAAAACCGGCAUCGCAGGUUCAAAUCCUGCCGCCUCUG